GGGAGAGCCGGGACAGCCUGAGGGACAGCCGGGACAGCCUGAGGGAGAGCCGGGACAGCCUGAGGGAGAGCCGGGACAGCCGUGAGGGAGAGCCGGGACAGCCUGAGGGAGAGCCGGGACAGCCUGAGGGAGAGCCGGGACAGCCGGGACAGCCUGAGGGACAGCCGGGACAGCCUGAGGGAGAGCCGGGACAGCCGGGACGACCGUGAGGGAUGGAGAACCCAAAGCAGACUCAAAGGAGCUGUGAAGGUUCCAGCAGCAGCUGUUGGGAUGUUCUGCAUCCUGACAGGAAAUCCAGGCUGACACUUGGAGCGGGAGAAUCCCAGGAGAGGCGUACUCAGUGCCCUCCUUCAGCUUUUCUUUAGCUCCCUGGCAGACAACUGCUGGAUAAUUGAAGGGGGAAGGAUUUAAAGGAGGAUCCUGAUUUAACACCCAACCUCCAUCCCAGUGAAAUCACAACCCUGGGAAGAAAAUUCAUCUGAAAAUUAAAGAAAUGACAAGGGACAGGCAAAGGUCCAGCCCUGCCCUACAGCCACCCAUGGAACUCCGCCUCACAAAAAGAAUUUAGAGUGAUUUUGGAAGAAAAUCCAGGAAAUAUUUCACCAUCAGGAAGAGAAACAUCAAAAUGGGCCCCAAGUGGGCAGGAAGCCACAGCGGGAUUCCCAGUGUUGGGAGGGACACAAAGGCCAGAGUUUCAUGGAAUCACAGAGUCCUUAAGGUUGGAAAAGGCUCCCAAGAUCAACCCACAUUCACCACUAAAUAAUGUCCUCAAGUGCCACCUCCACACAUUUUUGGAACACUUCCAGGGAUGGUGAAUCCAUGAAUCCACCACUUGCCUGGUCAGCCUAUUUUCAUUUCUCUACAUCCCAAAAAACACAGCUCUGGACUAAAAAUACUGAUUUCUCCACGGCACUUCCAUAUUCCCUUUCCAUUUCCUUCGAGGUAGGAAAUCUGUUCCUGAAAUUUGGCUUCGAGAUUUCAUAUUUAAGUUUGCAUCCCAUUUUUGCAAAAUUAAACACAGGAGACGAGAUAAAUCCCUGGCAUUCUGGGAAGCACAGCAGGGUUUUACAGGAGAGGGGGAAACAGGCACUGCAGUGUUCAUAAAUAGUCUGAAUUCAGCAUGGGAAAUAUUAUGACAUCUUCAUCUAAUUUACAUAAUUUACAUAAAAAUAAAAUUACAGGGGAAUAUUAAAUUCCUGCAUGCAAAACCAUCUCUUCCUUUCCCUCCCUGAAUGAGAUUCUCCUUUUGCUUCUCAGUGGGUUUUAUGCAAUAUCUGGGAUUUCUGGACACUGACAUAAUCAAAUCUAACAAUAAUUUGAUUUUCUUCUGAGCUCCUCAGAGCACCAAAGCGAUUUUAUUAUUCUGAAGAUGGUUUGAAAGCAUCUUUAUUGAAGGCCCAUAAACGUCUUUAAAGCUAUCCAUGUGCCAAUGGAUCAAGAAUACCCCUGAAAUUCCUCGUUCUGCCUUGUACCUGAAAAAUCCAUUUGGAACAGCUUCUCCUGUAUUGAAUUCCUGUCUGGAGCAGCUGAUUUAAGCAGCUGAUAGAGGAUGGCAAGUGGCCCAUUCAUUGUGUUAUCAUUUUAUACACUCUGUCCAUAAAGCCCCCAGGAGAAGGAUGGACUGUCUGUCCAUGAGAAAUAAUCCACUGGCUGAGGUUUAUUGGAACAGCGAUGGAAUUUUAAACACCUUGGAAAAGCCAAAGCCUGGCUGCUGACACGAUUGGAGCGGCGUUUUCCAACUCUACGUUCAGGCUUGGAAUGAGAGGAAUUAAUGCAAUUAAAGCAGCGCCUUAAUUAGCAACUGGAAACAAGGGUUUAGUUGGAAAAACAAGAGCCCCUAAAUUUUCAUAUAAUGAAGGACUGGGUGUGGCGAAUGCAUUAUCAGAACAGCAGGAAAAUGUCCAGUGUAAUAAAGCACAGGAAUAUUCCAGAGUUCACCUCUGGCCCUGGUGCUCCCAGGUGGGAACUGCUCAGCUCCCAGCAUUUUCCUGCCCUGGCCAAUGGGAGGAAAAUAUUUAAUUCAGCGUCAGCAAAGAAGGGCAAAAUACGGUCAACAUUUCAGAAGUCACCAGUGAAGGAAAGUUUAAAGCACAGUCCAGGGGAUAAGGACACAAGUGGGGUCUGAGGUGACCCUGGCACUGCUAAACAAAAUCUAACUGGAGAGAAGAGCCUGGGAAACGGGAAACCCCCCAAAAUUCACUGUUCCAUGGGUAGGACAGAGGAACUUUUGGGAGUUUUGGGGUUCAUAAAGGCUGUCACUUUAAAGGAAAUGGAGAAAGAGCAGCAGAAGUUAAAAAAGGGAAACCAAGUAAUGCAAUCAAACAAACGGAAGUAAUGAAUAAUCCAGAAUAAACCUCAAAGUCCACUGCUGGACUUAGAUCUCUUAAAGACCUUUGAGGAAGGGUGGCUUUGCCAAAAAUUAUUGGCAUGAGAGAUGGGACUGGGAGAAAAUCUGGAGACCUGAAUAACUCCAGCAUGGGAAUCUCCAUUCACACAGGAUUUAAUCAGGUUUUGUUGAAUUCCUGAAUAAUUCCAGUGCGGGAAUGUCCAUUAGGACUGGGUUUAGGGAGGUGCUUGUGGAGGAGCAAAGCUGCCCAACCUUCCUCCCAAAAGCAUCACCCACGAUUGGGCUCAGCUCCGGGAUGGGCAGAGCAGGUGGGACAUGACAUGAACCACCACCACCAGGGCACCUCCCUGCUGCUCACUGUGGGUUCUUUGUUAAAAUUAAAAUGCCUUUUCUCACCCCCAGUGUGAAAUUUUCACUCCCUUGAAGAAAUUCCCAAAGAAAAUAUGGCUUUUUCCUUAAAUGCUUCCCUAAAACCUCAUUUAUGUCUUCUUAAUGACCUUUAGCUGACCCUAAGAAGUCAUUUCACAGGUGGAAAAUUGCCUCAAAAAAUGGAGUUAUUGAAACAGAAUCAGAAUCUCCUAAAAACCAGAAUGAUGAUUAUUAUUUGCCUAUAUUCCAAGCAGUAAAAUAGCUCAAAUCAUAUUUAUUCCCACAAAAAUGUACUUUUCCGGUGUAUUUACUCUGAAAAUUCAUUUUACGAGCAGAAAUCAAUACUCUGCCCUUUGGAAGGAGAUAAUCUGGAUAUAUUUGGAAAGAUCCACUGUUCUGUAAUAGACCCCAUUAAAGUGCUGCUGCCACAUUUCAGCGGUCAUAGAGCCACUAAAAUAAUUUAAUGGCUCAGGAUGGGGCAAUUUCCAUUGGAUUUUCCCUCCAUCCCAGUAAGUUUCUGUUAAAUAUAUUUUAUACAUCUAAUUCCUCCUGGUCUAAUCAUGACUUUAUUGUCCAUUACUUAAAUUUCUUACAUUUUCCCCUCUUUUUUGGUCCCAUGAAAAUAGAAUUCAUUCCAGCCAGUGAAGAUAAUUCCCUGUGGGAAACCUGUGGUUGGAAAUCUCCCAGUCUCAAAUAAUUCCGUGUUGGAGACAUGCCACCAUUGCCACCCUUUCUUUCCCAUUCCAAAUCCAUUCCUUUUUCCUGCACUGCUUCAGUUUGGCUCUGGAUUGAGCUGUUUGAGCUCUGUCACAGGCAGGGCUUGGGAAGGGUGACAACAAAAGGCAAAUCCCUUUUGGAUUUGUGAAAUAAUUCCAAAUAAUUCCUAGGAGUUACUGGUGUGCUCUGCUGUGUCCUGUCCUCAUCCAUGCCCAGCUCUCAAGUCAGCAAGGCCCAAAGCUGUGAUCCCAGAGGGUCUCAUUGGGAACUCUACGUGUUUUGGGAUAUUUUAGCUGUGCAUCCUAAAGAGCGGGAGAAGAUGGGAUCUUUUCCAGCCUAAAGAAAUCAGGCCACUGUCAACAUUCCCAAGGACUGCAAAUGCCAUCAGCAAAGCUCACAGAGGAGAGAAUCAUGGAAUUGUUUGGGUUGGGAGGGACCUCAAAGCUCAUCCAGUGCCACAGCUCCCUCUGUCCCAGGUGCUCCAGCCCCAGUGUCCAGCCUGGCCUUGGGCACUGCCAGGGACCCAGGGGCAGCCACAGCUGCUCUGGGAAUCCCAUCCCAGCCCCUCGCCACCCUCACAGGGAAUAAUUCCCUCCCAAUAUCCACCCCUGCCCUCUGGAAGUUCCUCAGACAAAGGACAUUCUGGAUUUUCAGUGUGCUGUGACAGGAUUGGAGAGAAGCCCCCCAGGAGCUCCCUGUGAUGGUGCAAAUCUGCUUUGCAACCCCUGCUUCAUUCAGCAUUAAACUCUUCAUUAAUAUUAUUUUCAUUUUGGGGCCUGGCUUUGUAAAAGGCAGUGGAAUUUCCCUGCUGUGGGAAUAAAUGAGAUAUUGUAAAUAGAAUUAGCUUAGAAAGGAUUUAUAAAGGAUUCAGCCAAAUUUCCUGAAGUGGGGCAUAAAUAAAACUAUUUUUGAGACCUCUCAUCAGUAUCAUCAGAACCAUCUCAUUGUGAAACUUCACAGAGCUAAACCCACUCCAGAACUCAAAAAACUUCUCAAGUAUCUCAAGCAGCCGAAUAUUCCCCCAGAAACAUCAUCAGAAAUGUCUUAUCAGAGGUUUUAUCGUCAGCCAAGAGCAUUUCUGGAUUGAUUUUGCUGCUGCUAGACCACAAGGACUCAAACUGACUUCAAUAAUCACAUGGAUACCCAACCUUCAAUGCACACAAAUAAAAAAGAAGAAAUUGUUGGUGUUCUGCUCCCACCAGCAGAAAGGAUCAAGGGGGUCCUUUUGUAUCCCAGCAGCUCAAAUCCCAUGGGAUGAUAUUUGUAAGGGAUUAAACUUGGAUAAUCACUGGGGAUGAUUAUGUACACAAAUAAACACAAAGUCAACAACUAUUUCUCCAUAGAAAAGCCAUUUAAAAGACAAAUUCCAUGUUAGGCCACAGCACUUUGAAUUCCUUGCUCACAUUUAGAACUGAGAUUAUCCAAAGCCAAUGGGAGGGAUUGAAAACAACAUUUUUUUUUCCAUGUUCCUUUCAUUCCAAGUGUUAUCUGACAGCCACAUCAGCGUUAAUGUUUCUCCCCAACCCAUCAAAUAUUUGAUUUCUAAUUAAGGCCUUUUCAUCUCAGUUGGAUUUGUCUCCCUCAUCUUUAAUUAUGUUUCCAUCCACGCUGCUCAAGAGCAAGGAUUUGCAUUUUUACAUUAUAUAGAAAUCACAUUGUAAAUAUUUAUCAGAUGGUUCCCUCUCUGCUGCUCACAGAUUUGGGAAUUCAGGCUCGCAGGAAGAGGGAAUGUUCCCAUGUUAACACCCCACUGCUUGUUAGGAUUUCACUGUCUCCCAUACAUUGAUUUUCCCUCUGCCACAGCUUCCCAUCGCUCCUGCAGGUGCAAAACCCACCUGGGAAUGUCAGACACCAGUGGGAAAAUGGGAUUCUGCUGGGAGACCCAGGAGCACACAAAGGCUGCAGAGAGAUUUGGCUCUAUCUGAGAACCAAACCUUAAUAAAUCACUGAGGAAAGUCCCAGCUUGGAAGGUACCCCACGGGGCAGGAAGGACAAACAACCUGGGGUGUGGGCACAGGAGUUCCAUCCUGGCUCUUUUCCCCAUGGGAUAAUUCUAUGGCAUCAACUGAUGGAGAAAAGGUGGGAAAAUAUUCAUGCCUCUUUGGAAAAGCAGGUUUGUGUGGUUACACCUCUAAAAAAAAACAUUUCUUGGUAGAAAGUUGCCUCUUGGAGCACUGGGCUCAAGCAGAAAAAUGGGAAUUUUACAGAAUUGUCAUUCUCGUGAGCAUCCCAGUGAUUUUUAGGAGGGGCAAAGAGGUGCUCUGCCAGGGCGGGAGGUCAGCAGUGACAGGGUUGGGGUGAGAUCCUCACUGACGGGCAGUGAGCCCCGAACCCCGGGCGAGGAGCGGGAGAAGCUGGCAGCUGUCCGCGGUGCUGAGCGCCCAGAGCCGCUGGCCGCGGUGCUGAGCGCCCAGAGCCGCUGGCCGCGGUGCUGAGCGGGCCGGCCCGCCGCUGGCCGCGGUGCUGAGCGCCCAGCGCCGCCACCGCAUCCCGGGAAUGCCGCUCCUGCCCCGGGCAGCCCGGCAGGGCGGGAGCCGGGCUGACACAUCCCCCUGGACAUGGAAUUUUCCUGAGACCCCGCCUGGAGUGCUGCACCCGGAUCUGCUGUCCCCACAGUAAGAAGGACGUGGAGCUGCUGGAGCAAGCCCAGAACUGGACAUGGUGUUGAUAAGGGGACUGGAGAUCUUCCCCUGUGGAGAAGGGCUGGGAAAGUGGAAUUUGUCAGCCUGGAGAAGAGGAAUUUGUGUGCAGAGCUCAGAGCUCCUCCCAGAAUCGGAAUGGGGACGCAAGGAAGACGUUGAGAGACUUCACUGGGAGCUGGAGUGACAGAACAAGGGGAUGGCUUCAAGCUGAAGGAGGGGAAAUUUAGAUGGGGUAUUGGGAAGGAAUUCCUCCCUGUGGAGGAGGUGAGGCCCUGGCACAGGUGCCCAGAGCAGCUGUGGCUGCCCCUGGAUCCCUGGCAGUGCCCAAGGCCAGGCUGGACACUGGGGAUGGGAUGGUGGAAGGUGUCCCUGCCAUGGCAGGGGUGGGAUGGGAUGAGCUUGAAGGUCCCUUUCAACCCAAACCAUUCAGUGAUUUUGGAGGAAUAAGCAGAAACCUAUCUAGGAAGGAAAGGUUUGCCACUUUUCUACACGGUAGCAAAAAGUAAAAUAUUUACAAGGAAGAACAUUAUUUCAAAUCUGUUACACAUCUGUUUCCCAAUUUCUUUUUAGCAAAAAUUAGCAUGCAAAAGGAAAACAAAAACAAGUGAAGACAACAGAGCUCCAGCCCGUGUGCUCCUCAAACCAUAAUCUGAUCAGUGAUCAAUAACAGAUCUUUUCCAUCAGUUAAAAAGCUGUUUGUACUAUACACACACAAGCUUUUCUUUGCUACAAAGCAGCAGCCAAACAAGAAUUCUCCAUUUCCCAUCUCAUCCCUCAAGCUCUGACACUGCACCCGUUCCAUCAGCUCUCCAUGGGAACGCCCGGGGGAGCCCCGUGUUGUACCCCACAAACACUCGGAGAUGGAGCCGUCACUUUCUCCCCACAAUUACAGAACUCCCAGCUGCCCUUCCUGAGCUCCCAAACAUCCCCAAGUGUCAUGUUCCAAACGAGAUCAGUGCUGGAGAAACUCUGGGAGUGUCCCUGCGCAGAGUACGAGGGACCUCUGGUGGAAGCAGAUUCCAGUGGCAGAUAAACACUUCUAUCCUCGUUUAUUCCUCCAAUUAAAGGAACCAAACCCCUUUAAUCCAUGAAAUGUCAGUGUCUAACCCGGAAUUCCAACCCAUUUUAUCUUCCUCCUCUCCAGCUCCCAGCUGAAAAUAAAGCAGUGCCCUCAGGAAUAUUUUAUUAGAUUCUGUCAAGCACCGUGUCCCAAAAUAAACCUGCUGGAAACAGCUUCACUUUGGGCCUGGAUCAACACUUGGAUCGACACUGGAAAGAGUCAAAUUAUCCCCAAAAUUCCAAGAUCACUUUUUCGUGUGGAAAAGCUCUGUUUGAUCAGUGCCUUGGGCUUCACGAGAUUAAAAUUGCUCCAACUUUGCAGCUCAAGGCAGAAUUAAAUUUAUUCAGCUUGAAGAACACCACUAACAAUGAUUGCCAGAUUUUUUAGGGGUUCAGAAGCCACCAAAUGUUGUCCUGAGAGUGACAGCAGCCACUGGCAGCGAGGAUCCAACGAAGCUGUUCCCUCCUCAGGAGCAGGGAGACACUUCCUGCCCCACACACCAGGGCAACCCCUGCUCCUGGAAUUCCUGAAUUAUUCCAUGUGCUCCAGCCUGCAAUUCCCUCAAGUCUUGUCUUCUGUCACAAAGAUGAAGGCAACAUCUCCAGGCUCUGUAUUUAUUUAUUUUUUGGCCUAAAAAGCCCAGUUCAGAGACAAUCACAGAGCUGUUUGUACUCCAGAAAUGGGAUCUGUAUUUGGGGUUUAUUUAGGGUCAACUUAAAAAGAGAAAUGCAGCCUCCAGCCACUGGUCAAGGCAGAAUAUUUAUUCCAAAAUCAAAUUUAAUGUUGACCUCCUAAAUCCACUUCUCAAAGUCCCUUUUAGCCUCUUUUAGUCUCUUUUUUGACAAAAAUCAACCGACAAAACAAAACCAAAAAUCAACCAAGAAACCACAUUUCUUUGCAUGAAAAGCACCACAAAUUGAUGUUUUUUGUGAACACAAUAUCCUAAACACACAGGACACAGGACCACUUGGAAGGACCUUUUCACCAGCAAGAACACCUCAAAAUCUGCUGAAUUCCAGGUCUGAUACCCACAGUCACACAUCCUGAUGAGCCUACAAGAGGAAUCUCUGCCUGGAGGUCAUUUGCGACACCUAAAACCCCUUUUUAACCCAUGACCAACCCCUCAGUGAGCUUUCACUGAUCCCACACCCCAGCAAGGAGGGCAGCAAAGGCAAAAGGAGGAACUCCAGCGGGACUCACGGGGGUGCUGCUGUCGGAGAAGGUGUUCAUGCUGACAGACCUGCUCAUCUUGCCCGAGCCCGGCGACGCUGGGGACAUCGGGGACCUUGGGGACGUCGGGGACGUCGGGGACGGGCUGCCCUUGUCCCGGGGCUCCGGGGAUGGGGACAGCUCCUGGCGCUGCAGGUGCUCACGCCAUGCUCGCUGGAUGCUGAGGGAACAAAGGAUUUCGGUCUCGGAACAUUGGGGUUGGGGUUUCCCGUGUUGUUUUCCUGUCUGGGGAGGGGUCACGUGGAACUGCCUCUGCAGGGUUUGUAUAAGGCACCACUGGGAUAAUUUAGGGUGUUUUUUAAGGAGAAUCCGGGAAUUCUGGAGUGGUUUGGGUUGGAAAGGACCUUAAAGAUGAUCUGGUUCCGAACUCUUACCAUGUUCCUCAGAGUCCAGCCCAAUCCCAAAACCCAUGGAAGGGAUUUCAGUUGAGGCCAUCCAGAACUCAGAAUUUAUCCUGCAUUCCACAAUCAAAAUUUAAAUAUCCAUUUGUCCAUUUAAAGGAAUUAACAAUCAUCUACAUCUUUUUUUAUACCACAUUUCAGAUUAUAACUCAGACACAAUGCGAAUUUGAGAGCUAGAGCAUUGUCAUGGAAUUAUGGAAUCCCAGAAUGGUUUAGGGUGGAAAAUGUCAUCUCAUUCCAUCCUCUGCCAUGGGCAGGGACAAUUUCCACUAUCCCAAGUCUUUCCAAACCCUGUCAAGCCUGGCCUGGAACAAUUCUAACAUUCACAACUUCUCUGCAGGAUUAGCUCCUUGUAGGAUUUUUAAGCAAUUGAGGGUUUAUUCACAGGGAUGAGCAGUAUUUAGUUAUUUAUAUUUAUAUUUACAUGUAUUUCUAUUUUAAAGCUGGAGAAUAGACUGAGCUUAAGUCAUAAUUAUUCUCCUAGAAAACUCCUUGAAAAUGGAUUCUUUCAUCUGGCUUUUAUUUGCAUGACGAAAAGCUUAGAAGACACUGGGUUUAAUUUGAAACUUCAUGUCCUUUUAAUGUUUUAAUAUGCAUUAAUAUUUGAAUGGGCUGUAAGUGAGGUGGUGUUUUCUGGAUGGAGGCAAUUCCUGUGCCAGGGCUGGAGGAUCCUUGCAGGGAGAGGCUCCAAAAGGAACCCUGGACUCUGAUAAAUAUGUGGGGAAGUUUAAUUAUUCAAAAUCAAGACUUCUAGAAUAACUGAUGCCAGGGGGAACUCGGUAUCACGUAAUGUACAGCAAAAUUUAAAAUUGUUCUAUUAUUCGAAGAGAGGAUUGAUUUAGGAUAUUGAGGAAGGAUUUUUUUCCCAUGAGAGUGGCAAGGGGGAGAUUCCCCACCCCUGAAACCACCCCAAAUCAGGCUGACAAGCUGCCCUAAUUGAAGCCAUCCCUGCUCAGGACUGAAAGGUCCUUGAAGGUCCCUUCCAAGGCGGACCACUCCAGGAUUCCAGGAUUGGGCGGCGCUCGGGAGGUCGGAGCUCAUUCCCGGAGCCCCGGUGCUCACCCUCCCUUCCCGGUGCGCUGGCUGUCAGCGUGUGCCGCGGCUGGGCCCGCUGCCCCAGGAGAUCCCGCUUCUCCCGAGCCCCCCAGAGCAGGAAUUCUGCACUUCCCGGGCUGCUCCUGCCGGGGAAUCCCCGGGAAACUGCUGUUGGAUGGGGAAAUGGGCACGGAAAAGGCUCCGUGCUGCCCUUCCCUCCUCUGGCUUCUCUGCACAGGGAAAAAUCCAGCAGAUUGCCAAAUAUUCUUGAGUUACACAGAGGAAAUGACAAAGUGAGUGCAACACUGAUGU